GGAUGAACGCUGGCGGCGUGCCUAAUACAUGCAAGUCGAGCGAACGGACGAGAAGCUUGCUUUUCUGAUGUUAGCGGCGGACGGGUGAGUAACACGUGGAUAACCUACCUAUAAGACUGGGAUAACUUCGGGAAACCGGAGCUAAUACCGGAUAAUAUUUUGAACCGCAUGGUUCAAAAGUGAAAGACGGUCUUGCUGUCGCUUAUAGAUGGAUCCGCGCUGCAUUAGCUAGUUGGUAAGGUAACGGCUUACCAAGGCAACGAUGCAUAGCCGACCUGAGAGGGUGAUCGGCCACACUGGAACUGAGACACGGUCCAGACUCCUACGGGAGGCAGCAGUAGGGAAUCUUCCGCAAUGGGCGAAAGCCUGACGGAGCAACGCCGCGUGAGUGAUGAAGGUCUUCGGAUCGUAAAACUCUGUUAUUAGGGAAGAACAUAUGUGUAAGUAACUGUGCACAUCUUGACGGUACCUAAUCAGAAAGCCACGGCUAACUACGUG
rnacentral:rRNA from 1 species